rnacentral:rRNA from 1 species
CGUAGCAAUACGUGGCACACGGCUCAGUAACACGUAGUCAACAUAACCAAUGGACGUGGAUAAACUCGGGAAACUGAGGCUAAACCGCGAUAGACCAAGAUACCUGGAAUGGUUUUUGAUCAAAAUCUAUAUGGCCUUUGGAUUGGACUGCGACCGAUCAGGCUGUUGGUGAGGUAAUGGCCCACCAAACCUGUAACCGGUACGGGCUCUGAGAGGAGGAGCCCGGAGAUGGGUACUGAGACAAGGACCCAGGCCCUAUGGGGCGCAGCAGGCGCGAAACCUCUGCAAUAGGCGAAAGCCUGACAGGGUUAUUCUGAGUGACUUUCGCUAAGAAAGUCUUUUGACAUCUCUAAAAAUGGUGUAGAAUAAGGGGUGGGCAAGUCUGGUGUCAGCCGCCGCGGUAAUACCAGCACCCCGAGUGGUCGGGACGAUUAUUGGGCCUAAAGCAUCCGUAGCCGGUUUUACAAGUCCUCCGUUAAAUCCAACUGCUUAACAGAUGGGCCGCGGAGGAUACUAUAAGACUAGGAGGCAGGAGAGGCAAGCGGUACUCAGUGGGUAGGGGUAAAAUCCGUUGAUCCAUUGAAGACCACCAGUGGCGAAGGCGGCUUGCCAGAAUGCGCUCGACGGUGAGGGAUGAAAGCUGGGGGAGCAAA